rnacentral:rRNA from 1 species
UACGUAGGGUGCGAGCGUUGUCCGGAAUUACUGGGCGUAAAGAGCUCGUAGGUGGUUUGUCGCGUUGUUCGUGAAAACUCACAGCUCAACUGUGGGCGUGCGGGCGAUACGGGCAGACUGGAGUACUGCAGGGGAGACUGGAAUUCCUGGUGUAGCGGUGGAAUGCGCAGAUAUCAGGAGGAACACCGGUGGCGAAGGCGGGUCUCUGGGCAGUAACUGACGCUGAGGAGCGAAAGCAUGGGGAGCGAACCGG